AUUGAACGCUGGCGGCAUGCCUUACACAUGCAAGUCGAACGGCAGCACGGGAGCAAUCCUGGUGGCGAGUGGCGAACGGGUGAGUAAUAUAUCGGAACGUGCCCAGUCGUGGGGAUAACGUAGCGAAAGCUACGCUAAUGCCGCAUACGAUCUACGGAUGAAAGCGGGGGAUCGCAAGACCUCGCGCGAUUGGAGCGGCCGAUAUCAGAUUAGGUAGUUGGUGAGGUAAAGGCUCACCAAGCCGACGAUCUGUAGCUGGUCUGAAGAGGACGACCAGCCACACUGGGACUGAGACACGGCCCAGACUCCUACGGGAGGCAGCAGUGGGGAAUUUUGGACAAUGGGCGCGAAGCCUGAUCCAGCAAUAGCCGCGUGCAGGAU
rnacentral:rRNA from 1 species